GUGGGGGGGACAAAGUCAGGUGAGAUGUCUUCCUCUGGUCAUGACACCUAUUUCGCAGACGAAAAAAUAGUUCAGCUCACCAAAGCUAAUAACAGAUACAUGAUUUAUGACAAUAACAGGAUAAUUGUGUGUGUGUGUGUGUUUUUUUCCAUGUUCAGUGGGAGGACUUACAUUAACAAGACCUCAGGAAGUUCAGGCUUCACUUCAUCGAAUAAGGACUGUGACUGUGAGCCUGAUCCUGGGUCGGCCUGCGGCGGCUGAGAGCAUGCCACUGUUGGAAGGUCCUGGGACAGAGAGUAAGUGUGACAGUGAGUGUUACCAACUUGAUCAGUGCUUGGGAAAAAAAUGUUUACACUGAUUGAUACCAUUAAUGAGAACCUGUGUGCAUAUUUGUGUCUGUAUUCAGUGUGUCUGUGUGCUUGCGUGCGUGUGCUAACAAACAGUGUGUUGUCCAUCUGUCCACAGUGGAAGUCACUGUCAGCAGUGGAGCAGGCCAUAUAUUACCAAACGGCAGACAGAGAGAGAGAGAGAGUUCCACACCCAGAGACACCCCGACUGCUCAGUCAGCCAAAACUAUCAGUGUCAGUGGUGGCUUCCGCCUCACGGGCAGCUGUGAUGGAGGCCUCGACCUCACAGAGAGCUGUGGAGGAACCUCAUCCCUCGCAGACAGUCCCGGGCCUGUCACAGCACACGUCAGCGGACGGCCCUGGUGCAGCUGCCGCACACACAAACUCCAGUGACCGUGCACAACUCACACAGAGUCCAGCCAAUCAGAGGAUGUGGAGCAUCACCUGGUGA
rnacentral:lncRNA from 1 species